rnacentral:rRNA from 1 species
CCCUUAGAUGUUCUGGGCCGCACGCGCGCUACAAUGAUGAAUUCAGCGAGUUUAUAACCUUGGUUGAAAAGCCUGGGUAAUCUUUUGAACUUUCGUCGUGAUGGGGCUAGACCCUUGCAAUUAUUGGUCUCCAACGAGGAAUUCCUAGUAAACGCAAGUCAUCAGCUUGCAUUGAUUACGUCCCUGCCCUUUGUACACACCGCCCGUCGCACCUACCGAUUGAAUGGUCCGGUGAAAUCUUCGGAUUGAGACUUUGAUUUCUUCACGGAAAACGCUGUUUUAAAAAGUUGAUUAAACCUUACCAUUUAGAGGAAGGUGAAGUCGUAACA